UACGGAGGGUGCAAGCGUUAUCCGGAUUCACUGGGUUUAAAGGGUGCGUAGGUGGGUUGGUAAGUCAGUGGUGAAAUCUCCGUGCUUAACAUGGAAACUGCCAUUGAUACUACUGGUCUUGAAUUUUCCGGAGGUAAGCGGAAUAUGUCAUGUAGCGGUGAAAUGCUUAGAUAUGACAUAGAACACCAAUUGCGAAGGCAGCUUACUACAGGGACAUUGACACUGAGGCACGAAAGCGUGGGGGAUCAAACAGG
rnacentral:rRNA from 1 species